rnacentral:rRNA from 1 species
ACUCAAAUGAAUUGACGGGGGCCCGCACAAGAGGUGGAGUAUGUGGUUUAAUUCGAAGCAACGCGCAGAACCUUACCUGGCCUUGACAUCCCACGACGCUAGCAGAGAUGUUAGUUUCCCUUCGGGGACGUGGUGACAGGUGCUGCAUGGCUGUCGUCAGCUCGUGUUGUGAAAUGUUCGGUUAAGUCCGGCAACGAGCGCAACCCCUGUUCUUAGUUACCACCAUUAAGUUGGGGACUCUAGGAAGACUGCCGGUGUUAAACCGGAGGAAGGCGGGGAUGACGUCAAGUCCUCAUGGCCCUUACGGCCAGGGCUACACACGUACUACAAUGGCAGAAACAAAGGGUUGCAAUACCGCGAGGUGGAGCUAAUCCCAAAAACACUGUCUCAGUCCGGAUUGGAGUCUGCAACUCGACUCCAUGAAGUUGGAAUCUCUAGUAAUCGCAGAUCAGCACGCUGCGGUGAAUACGUUCCCGGGCCUUGUACACACCGCCCGU